UGAGUAACCUGCCCUUAACUCUGGGAUAAGCCUGGGAAACUGGGUCUAAUACCGGAUAUGACUCCUCAUCGCAUGGUGGGGGGUGGAAGGCUUUAUUGUGGUUUUGGAUGGACUCGCGGCCUAUCAGCUUGUUGGUGAGGUAAUGGCUCACCAAGGCGACGACGGGUAGCCGGCCUGAGAGGGUGACCGGCCACACUGGGACUGAGACACGGCCCAGACUCCUACGGGAGCAG
rnacentral:rRNA from 1 species